AGCAGCCGCGGUAAUUCCAGCUCCAAUAGCGUAUAUUAAAGUUGUUGCAGUUAAAAAGCUCGUAGUUGAACUUCGGGGUUUACCCAUUGGUCAGGCUUAAUUGUCUGUACUGGUGAGAUAAAUCUCUACCUUCUGAGGAACUUUCAUGCCAUUUAUUUGGUGUGAUUGGAAAUCAGGACUAUUACUUUGAAAAAUUAGAGUGUUUAAAGCAGGCUAAAGUCUGAAUACAUUAGCAUGGAAUAAUGAAAUAGGACGGAUUGAUUCUAUUUCGUUGGUUUCUAGGAUCACCGUAAUGAUUAAUAGGGAUAGUUGGGGGCAUUAGUAUUCAAUUGUCAGAGGUGAAAUUCUUGGAUUUAUUGAAGACUAACUACU
rnacentral:sRNA from 1 species